rnacentral:tRNA from 1 species
AUGUCUUGUAGUUUAAAAAACACAUCAAAUUGCAGCUUUGAAAAUGCGACUAACUCGCCAAGACUUG